rnacentral:rRNA from 1 species
CCUACGGUGGGCAGCAGUGGGGAAUAUUGCGCAAUGGGCGAAAGCCUGACCCAGCGACGUCGCGUGAGGGAUGAAGGUCUUCGGAUCGUAAACCUCUGUCUGCAGGGAAGAACGGUCACUGUGCUAAUCAGCAGUGAAUUGACGGUACCUGCAAAGGAAGCACCGGCUAACUCCGUGCCAGCAGCCGCGGUAAUACGGAGGGUGCGAGCGUUAAUCGGAAGUACUGGGCGUAAAGCGCUCGUAGGCGGUAUGUCAAGUCAAGGGGGAAAUCCCCGCGCUCAACGUGGGAACUGCCUUUGAAACUGGCAAACUUGAGUGUGUGAGAGGAUAGUGGAAUUCGAGGUGUAGGAGUGAAAUGCGUAGAUAUCUGGAGGAACAUCAGUGGCGAAGGCGACUAUCUGGCACAUAACUGACGCUGAGGAGCGAAAGCGUGGGUAGCAAACAGGAUUAGAUACCCCUGUAGUC